UACGGAGGGUGCAAGCGUUAUUCGGAAUUAUUGGGUUUAAAGGGUGCGUAGGCGGAGAAUUAAGUCAGAGGUGAAAUACAAUAGCUUAACUAUUGUGCUGCCUUUGAUACUGGUUUUCUUGAGUAAUGUAGAGGUAAGUGGAAUUUAUAAUGUAGCGGUGAAAUGCAUAGAUAUUAUAAAGAACAUCGAUUGCGAAGGCAGCUUACUGGACAUUUACUGACGCUGAGGCACGAAAGUGUGGGUAGCGAACAGG
rnacentral:rRNA from 1 species